AAGUAAACGUGUGUGUGGACGGUGUAUUUGUAUUGAUGGAGCUCAUCCACUUCACAUGGACUCAAGUGCAGAUGAUGCUCGGAGGGACCUGGAGCAAAUCACCAUGGCAAUAUUUGUUGUCUUUCGGAAAGAGGGGAAAGGACUGCAGGAGCCACCUGAAGACAUUAGCAUCGUCAUUGAGGGUGUGGAGGUGUUGCAUCAACUGUCAAAAGCUGUCCGUUUCAGCUUGUGCCCUGCUUCUGGGAUUGAUACUCAACCUCUCUUACCCAAAACCACUUCAUUUCACUUUUAAAGUGCUCCAGAAGAUAAUCAUGGAGCUUGAUCAGCAGAAGAUGUCCCCCAAGGUCCAUAAUCUGUAUGGCAGACUUCAAACACAAUAGUGUUUCGAUAUGGGGCAUUUCACUAUUCAGCCCCUUUGGAUGUUGGGCCUUUGUUAGCUCCAAGAUAAAAAUGUUAAGAUACAAUGUUGUUUUAUAUAUAUUAUCACUUGAUUGUAUACAAAUGCUUCUAUCAUACAUAUGAUUUUUGGGGAAAAAGUUCAAUUUCUGUCAGGUGUUCCCAAACAUUGUUACAUAUCAGAAGGCCAAAUGUGACUUGGCAUGGUUAUGCAUUUUGUGCAUAUUUAUGUUAAAAAAAACACUGGAAACAAAUACAAGCAAUACAUUUUGAAAGCCAUCAAA
ensembl:lncRNA